rnacentral:lncRNA from 1 species
GCUCUGAGCAGGCCGACAGUCAUAGACGAGUAGACCUUAGGCGAGGGAAGGCAUGUACUUUCCCUAAGAAGCGGGAGGAGAGAAAUAAAUAGAGGGCAGUGGGAUGAGAAGAACCUCGCGGGAUGGGAAGCCGCGGAGGGAAGGGCCGUCUUUGGUUACCUGGAGAGCGGGAGCAGCUGCGGAUCCCUUAUGAAGUGCCCGGAUGAAGCUCCAGCGCUCACGCGCUUUCCGCAUUGAGUGCAGCGCCAUCUUGAGAAGGGCGGAGCCGUCUUGUUUGGAAUGACGUCUGUUCAGAGAGCCAAUCCCAGUCUCGCGACUCCUGCUUGCUGGGCGCGGCUUGGGCCUCCAGGCUGCGCAGCGCAGCCGCUAUCGGGCGGACUGCAGUUCUUGCCGAGCAGUCGCAAUGAUUUGUAUGACAGCUGCUAGCCCAAGAGAGAGUUCCAGAAGAGGGCUACCUAACAGGUGCUGUGGCAUUUAGAAGAGGAAUGGAGCCAUUGUCAACGCACAGCUUGCAGGGGAGCAGGAGAGUCAGUCUAAGAAGGAAAUGUGAUGAUGGAAACAGAGGUUGGAAGAUGGAAGAGGACCCAGAGUCAAGGAAUGCAGAUGGAGUCUUGCUCUGCUGCCCAGGCUGGAGUGCAGUGGACUGAUCUUGGCUCACUGCAGCGUCCAUCUUCCGGGUUCAAGCGAUUCUCCUGCUUCAGCCUCUCAAGUAGCUGGGAUUACAGGCGCCCACCACACCCGGCUA